GCCAGCUCCAAUGUUUGUCUUUCUCUUCCAGACAGAAAACGUGAGCCUUCUUCUUCCAGGCAGAAAAGGUGAGCUAGUGCUCACCUGAUCCUUCCCUAGCUGGACCAAGCCAACCAUCGCGUCCCCUCCUAAUCCGCAGCAAACCCUAGCCCACUCCCUCUCCAUCCUUGUGCCGCCGCCCCUUCUUUUCCCUAGACCACGCAGAAGAAAGGGACAAAAGUUUCAGAGAAAAACACCACACACAUCCGCCGUAGCGUCGCCGUCGCCCCGUCGUCUCCGACCACCUUUCGCCGAACCAAGGCCACCAAGAGCUUACCCUCAUCACGUUGUCCAUCCUCGACCCAAUAAUCCUCGAAUCGAGCACGCAAUCGACACCAACGACCCCGUUCUCUUCCCCGACUCCGGCGAGGAAAUCGUUGUUUCCGGCCGCCUCCGACGUCGCCCGCCACCUCCGAGGUGUUCAUCAGUUUCCUGGUGAGAUGGCGCCCCUUUUCCCCCUCUUCCCCUCCCUGUUUGCUCGCUGUUUGGUGUCGCCAAAUUCUGACGGAACUGUCGCUGUUUUGACCGAGGGUUUUCGCCGGAGUUUUCCUGAACUGCGUCGCUUUUUCUCGCCGUCGUUCGCCGCGCUGAACGUGGGGAUGAAACCGCCAUGGCAUCUUCUUCAUCUUCGCUGAGUCCACGGAGCAGGUGCAGCUUCGGGACUUCAUCUUCAACCUCGUCUCCUUGCCGGAAACGCCACCUGUAGCUGUUGCAAUUCUGCCUCGCCAUGGUUUUCUACCCGGAGUACCCGUCGUCGACCUCGUCUCCGACCAUGUUUCCUUCGCCAGCACACCUAGUAUUUGCUUCUUCCCGGAUAGGACCGCGAAGUGGUGCGGUGAGAUACGACAAGGUCUCCGGAUGUCCCUCGGCAAGCUUUAACAGGCAAGCAUUUUCCCUAUACUCCUGUCCCUGCAGGAGUCGCUCACCUAUUUUAUUUUGCCUUCUCCCUCAUGCUAUCCUUAAGUUGCGUUCUUGUCACGUGUCCCUUCCACUUGUUACCUCAAGCAGCCCAUAUUGCCAUCACCAACCACCAACCUCCUACAGCUGAUGUUUGGUUAUCGGGUCUGCCUUGCGAGUCGUAGUGCAUGCUAGUGCUGUUUAUAUCUCGUUACCGUUACCGCUAUCUUAUCGGGUUAUCAGUUGGGGAACAUGACACAUGGUUUAUGGUUA